CGCCUUCGCCAUCCGUUCUGAGAUUUCGUCCCACACCACACCACAAGGGCUGAUGAGACUUUCAAAAUAAGUGAAGCG
rnacentral:pre_miRNA from 1 species